UUGCACAUCAUUCUUAUAAUACUUUUGUUUAUGCUUUCUCAGGAUUCUUUUUACCAUAAUUUGACACCAGAAGAACAUGCAAGAGUACAUGAAUACAAUUUUGAUCAUCCUGAUGCAUUUGAUAAUGAGAAACUUUUAGCUUCUAUGGAUAAGUUGAGGAAUGGGCAAGCAGUAGAUAUUCCAAACUAUGACUUCAAGAGUUAUAAAAACAAUGUCUUCCUGCCUAGAAGGGUAAACCCUUCAGAUGUGAUAAUUUUGGAAGGCAUUCUCAUUUUUCAUGAUCCCCGUGUUCAAUAGUUGAUGAAUAUGAAGAUAUUUGUCGAUACAGAUGCUGAUGUUCGUUUAGCAAGGAGGAUAAGGCGUGACACAGUAGAAAAAAACAGGGAUAUUGGUACAAUUCUUGAUCAG